UAAUAAUACAUUAAAAUAUGAUCAUUCAGAAAAUCAGAUCAUUAAUAUUCAAUCUAAUAUUGAUGACUAUAAUUCUUAAUUAGAGCGUAGGAAAAUAUAUUUAAAGAUUAUAAAAUCUGUUUUAUUUCAUUCACAAUAAUAACCUAUUUACGAUGUUAAUAAACCUAUAACCCUAAUAAUAUUAAAAGUAUAUAUAUAGAUACAAAUGUUUGUUGUGCAUAGAAUAAAUUUACUGUGUCUGACAUAUUGAAGAAAACCAUGAAGCUGAUUAUUAAAGCAAUGAUUGCUGCAUGCUUUCUGGUAUUUACCAAAGGCCAACUUGUAGAAAAAUUAGUCGAUAUGUAUUGUAAGAUUGAAAGUCAAGCGGCAUUUCGCUUCUGUGCCAUAGAAAACAAUUACGAACAUGGACUCGUAUUAGUUAGGAAUUGCAUGCUUCAAGUGAAAAAAUUCCAUACUUUUGAUGAAAUGGCUGAA